rnacentral:rRNA from 1 species
AGAGUUUGAUCCUGGCUCAGGAUAAACGCUAGCGGCAGGCCUAACACAUGCAAGUCGAACGGUAACAGAAGGAGCUUGCUCUUUGCUGACGAGUGGCGCACGGGUGCGUAACGCGUAUGUAACCUACCCAUAACUGGGGGAUAGCUCAGAGAAAUCUGAAUUAAUACCCCAUAAUAAUUAUUUUUCGCAUGAUUGAUAAUUUAAAGCUUCGGUGGUUAUGGAUGGACAUGCGUGACAUUAGCUAGUUGGUGAGGUAAUAGCUUACCAAGGCUACGAUGUCUAGGGGGUCUGAGAGGAUGAUCCCCCACACUGGUACUGAGACACGGACCAGACUCCUACGGGAGGCAGCAGUGAGGAAUAUUGGUCAAUGGACGAAAGUCUGAACCAGCCAUGCCGCGUGCAGGAUGACGGCCCUACGGGUUGUAAACUGCUUUUAUUUAGGAAGAAACCUUCUCACGUGUGAGAAGCUGACGGUACCAAACGAAUAAGCAUCGGCUAACUCCGUGCCAGCAGCCGCGGUAAUACGGAGGAUGCGAGCGUUAUCCGGAUUUAUUGGGUUUAAAGGGUACGUAGGCGGAAUAAUAAGUCAGUGGUGAAAUCUUGCAGCUUAACUGUAAAACUGCCAUUGAUACUGUUGUUCUUGAGUAUAGUUGGAGUAGAUGGAAUGUGUUGUGUAGCGGUGAAAUGCAUUGAUAUAACACAGAACACCAAUCGCGAAAGCAGUCUACUAAGCUAUUACUGACGCUGAGGUACGAAAGCAUGGGGAGCGAACAGGAUUAGAUACCCUGGUAGUCCAUGCCGUAAGCGAUGAUUACUCGAUAUUGGCAUUUAUGUCAGUGUCCAAGCGAAAGUAUUAAGUAAUCCACCUGGGGAGUACGAUCGCAAGGUUGAAACUCAAAGGAAUUGACGGGGGCCCGCACAAGCGGUGGAGCAUGUGGUUUAAUUCGAUGAUACGCGAGGAACCUUACCAAGGCUUAAAUGCAGAACGACAGGUCUGGAAACAGAUUUUUCUUCGGACGGUCUGCAAGGUGCUGCAUGGUUGUCGUCAGCUCGUGCCGUGAGGUGUCGGGUUAAGUCCCAUAACGAGCGCAACCCCUAUCCUUUAGUUGCUAGCAGGUAAUGCUGAGGACUCUAAGGAAACUGCCCGCGUAAGCGGUGAGGAAGGUGGGGAUGACGUCAAAUCAUCACGGCCCUUACGUCUUGGGCUACACACGUGCUACAAUGGCAGGUACAAAGGGCAGCUACAUGGUAACAUGAUGCUAAUCUCUAAAACCUGUCUCAGUUCGGAUUGAGGUCUGCAACUCGACCUCAUGAAGCUGGAAUCGCUAGUAAUCGAAUAUCAGCCAUGAUUCGGUGAAUACGUUCCCGGGCCUUGUACACACCGCCCGUCAAACAAUGGAAGCUGGGGGCACCUGAAGUCGGUAACCGUAAGGAGCUGCCUAGGGUGAAACUAGUAACUGGUGUUAAGUCGUAACAAGGUA